rnacentral:rRNA from 1 species
UGGGGGAUAUUGCGCAAUGGGGGAAACCCUGACGCAGCAACGCCGCGUGAAGGAAGAAGGUUUUCGGAUCGUAAACUUCUUUAAGUGGGGAAGAUAAUGACGGUACCCACAGAAUAAGCCACGGCUAACUACGUGCCAGCAGCCGCGGUAAUACGUAGGUGGCAAGCGUUGUCCGGAUUUACUGGGUGUAAAGGGCGUGUAGGCGGGAUUGCAAGUCAGAUGUGAAAGACCGGGGCUCAACUCCGGGGCUGCAUUUGAAACUGCAGUUCUUGAGUGUCGGAGAGGAAAGCGGAAUUCCUAGUGUAGCGGUGAAAUGCGUAGAUAUUAGGAGGAACACCGGUGGCGAAGGCGGCUUUCUGGACGAUAACUGACGCUGAGACGCGAAAGCGUGGGUAGCAAACAGG